CCGAGUUGGAAAGGAAUUGCUCCAAUGAGUGCAUUGACUCUAAGAUCAAGGUGUCGCAAUUGAGAGAGAUUCCCAAUUUGAGAAGGGAUUGCUCCAAUGAGCUCAUUGCCGCUAAGAUCAAGGUGUCGCAAUUGAGAGAGAUUCCCAAUUUGAGAAGGGAUUGCUCCAAUGAGCUCAUUGCCGCUAAGAUCAAGGUGUCGCAAUUGUGAGAGUUUUCCAAGUUGAGAAGGAAUCUUCCCAUUAUAAAAGUUAUGUGACAGAUUAAGAUAUUUUAGAUGUUGUAGUUCAGUUAU
rnacentral:lncRNA from 1 species